GGGAGGUGUAGCUCAAGCCAGGGGAGGUGUAGCUCAAGUCAGGGGAGGUGUAGCUCAAGUCAGGGGAGGUGUAGCUCAAGUCAGGGGAGGUGUAGCUCAAGC